rnacentral:snoRNA from 1 species
GGGGUGUGCUCAGAGCAAGGGGCCAGAAGAAUGGCUCCUCUGUUUACAACAACCCAACAGGAAUCUAGGGUCAUUGUGACAAGGAGCACAAAACUCACGACUUCCCUUUGAGCAAAUGUCCCACACAU